AGGUUCUGGAACUGCAGAAACGGCUGAAACGACUCGGGUUUCUUCAGAGCCGCAGGGAACAGGAGGUGUUCAGGGUCUGGACAGAACAACACAGAAGCACAUGUCAACUUGAGAAGCAACUACAAGCAAUGGAACACAGCUCAGAUGUUACUCUUGGGGACCUGUUGAAACAGAAAUCUGGGUCUCUCCCGAAACUUCAGAUCACACCUGAUGACUCCACAGCACAGCACAAACAUAUGCCAGUCUCACUAAGAGGGAAUGAAGGAGGGGUGAACACUUUCCAACAGCAGGG
rnacentral:lncRNA from 1 species